ACCUAACUAUACAGUUAGAUGUUGAGUGUGUGUCUCUGCUGAUCUGAGCUCUGCAGUGCAGUGGGAUCCUGCAUCUUCCCUGAAGCAUCUCCAGGGCCUAGAUGACCACUGUCAAUGGUGAGGACCCCACAAGGAUGUGCUGAUGGAUGGGCUGAUGAUCAAGGAGACCCCAUGGGGGAGGCUCUGAAAGGGAAGGAUGUACCCUGAGUCAACCUCACCUGCAAGGGGCAUCUCCGGGUCUAUUUGCUGCUCUGUCCUUGAAA